rnacentral:Y_RNA from 1 species
GGCUGGUCUGAGUGCAGUGGUGUUUACGACUAAUUGAUCACAACCAGUUACAGAUUCCUUUGUUCCUUCUCCAUUCCCACUGCUUCACUUGACUAGUCGUAA